rnacentral:rRNA from 1 species
AGAGUUUGAUCAUGGCUCAGAUUGAACGCUGGCGGCAUGCUUUACACAUGCAAGUCGAACGGCAGCGCGGGCUUCGGCCUGGCGGCGAGUGGCGAACGGGUGAGUAAUAUAUCGGAACGUACCCAAGAGUGGGGGAUAACGUAGCGAAAGUUACGCUAAUACCGCAUACGAUCUAAGGAUGAAAGCAGGGGAUCGCAAGACCUUGUGCUCCUGGAGCGGCCGAUAUCUGAUUAGCUAGUUGGUGGGGUAAAGGCCCACCAAGGCAACGAUCAGUAGCUGGUCUGAGAGGACGACCAGCCACACUGGAACUGAGACACGGUCCAGACUCCUACGGGAGGCAGCAGUGGGGAAUUUUGGACAAUGGGCGAAAGCCUGAUCCAGCAAUGCCGCGUGAGUGAUGAAGGCCUUAGGGUUGUAAAGCUCUUUUACCCGGGAUGAUAAUGACAGUACCGGGAGAAUGAGCCCCGGCUAACUCCGUG